UCUACCACCCUUUUGCACCCCCGCAGGUCAUUUAUGUCCACCGUACCACCUCUCCGGCCCUCUCCACUCUCCACGCCACGGUCCUCCGGUCCUCCUCUCUACUCUACCUAUGCUUCCUUCCGAUACAUAAAGCCCGGGCAGCUAAGCUAGCAGCCUCCUCCUCCUUCCCAGCAACGCACAAGCAACGCACCACUCUCAGCAGUAGUCGCCAAGCAAACCGCAGCAGCUCCUCCCUUUGGGCGCCUCGCCACGGUGCCCAACCCCAUGGCAGCACAGAGCCCUCGCCAUGCCAGCACAGGCUUCGUCCUGGUGCGCUCCUCCGUGACCAGGCUCAAGCUUCCAGGGUCCAAGGAGGGGCCAUCGGGGAGCUGGGCACGCCGCGCGCCCCGCGCCCCGCUGAUCGACCACCGGCUCUAUCCUCCCUGAGCUCUUCUGCGCCCCACCUCUUCGCCUUCCCUCUCUUCCGCGUCACCGUUCCUUGGUGUGGUCUUCAGGCAUUCAAAGGAGUUCUUGCUGUUGUUGCACUAACCGCUGUUCUUGACCUUGCAAGACUUUGCCCUGCCAAACACCCUUCUACCAGUAUUCAAUCCCAUACUCAUCCAUACCAACCCUCUCAUCUCCCGCCAUCCCGUCUAUCCCUCUUGAGCUUUUGUGACUGGAACAUCUAGCAGUAGAUCGAGUUUGCGUGUGAUGCUACUAUAUAUCUUUGCCCAAUAAGAUCGUAUGUGUAAGUUUCUGUGGCAUCUUGUGUCACCGCUUCAGCCAUCUUGGCUAGACCGUAUUGUAUUGCUCUUUCUUCUUUCCGGUGAGUUGAUGUUUAGUUAGGUUUUUGUCUUGCUCGGGUUGUUGUUUGUUGUGUCGGCGAGAUAAAGCUAGCCAAGAUUUUACUUGUAAGCCUAAUGUUGUAAUGCGUGUCCAGUUUCUGUCCCAUCUUAUGUCACCACUUCAGUCAUCUUGCCAAGUAUAUUGUACUGUAUAUUGUUCUUCAGUUCUUGUUUCCGAUCAGAUGAGUUGCUGUUUAGUUAGUUAUUGUCCUCCUCCAUUGCUGUUUGUUGUCUCGGCAAGAUAAGCUAGCUCAGAUUCUACCUGUAGCCAAGCUUAAUGUUGUAAUGCAUGUGGAACUGGAAUGAACUAGUACUAAGAUAUAUUGUCCAGUUGCAGCUUGAAACGUGCAGGUUAAUUAUCACAAGUUAAGUGCAACAUAACAUGUGCGUCCAGCGUCCACGUGAAAGUCAGAGCAGUCUUAAUUUGCCGGGCAUAUUCGCACGCUUGUACGUGCAGUAGAUAGCGCCAUUUAUUAUGUAUGAUCUGCACCGUAUGACUGGGCCCUGUAACGUACUCCCUCCGUUCGAAAUUACUUGUCUCGGAAAUAAAUGUAUCUAGAUGUAUUUUUUUAGAUACAUUCAUUUCCGGGACAAGUAAUUCCGAACGGAGGGAGUAGUAAUGAAGAGCAUGCGCAGCAGCGUUGUUGAUAUGUUGUGCACCAGCUGACCGGCUCUUGAUAGCACGGCCACAACCAUGCAUACAGAACGAACGCUAGCAUGCCCCGGGCCAUUCAGACAUCAGAACUCACAUUAACUAGCAAACGUUUACUGAACCCUGGGAGGAAGAUAGUACUCCCUCUGUGAACUUUAGUGCCGUAAAACGUCUUAUAAAGGAGUGGUAUCUAGCUAUGAUUGAUCGUACCAGUAUGCUUUAUAAGAGCAUCUUUAAUAGAAGGUCAUAUGUAAAAAUAUCUACUUUUGGAUCUUCGAGAGCAGAAAACACUGCUCCAACAGACGAUCCAUAUAUAAAAAAAUUAGACUAUCGCCUCCCGGAGAUGUAAAAUUGAAAACUUUGUGAUGCAAAUUUACAUCACGAGAUACAAGUGAUGUAAAACCGCGGCCGCUGCCAAACGACCAAGCGCCACUUCAUUCCCCUUCCGCCUCGCGACCGCCCGCCCACGACCGAGCACCAGUCGCCGAAAGUCGCCGCCGCCACCGCCCCAAAUCGCCGCCGCCGCCGCCCUAGCUCGCGUCGCCUCCCCCGCCGGAGGGCGUCUCGCAGCCGCCCCGGCGCCACCGUUUCAGGAAGAAGCCGCAGCUGGAUUCGCCGACUCCGGCGGUCCGACAGCCCAUAUAGCUCCGCUCCGCCGGCCGCCGUGCUCCCUUCUCCUUUGCGCCGCCGUCCGCAGCAGCGACCAAUCCAACUGUUGGGCAUCUUCUUCCACCCCGCGCACAAGGUGUUCGAUGGACAUGUAUAAUUUUUUUAUGUUGUUUUUAGAUGUUUUUUGCAAUAUGUGCGGCUGCACAGUGGUUGAACAACAGUUGCGCGGCCGCCGGCCGGUUUUGCAUCUUUGUUUUGGACCAUCUGUUGGAGUUGCUCUUUUUUUUACAUCUCCGUUUUGGACCAUCUAUUGGAGUUGAGCCUUUUUUGAAGAUGUAAAAAGCAUUUUUUUUGUGCUUCAAAUUUGGAUCAUCACUGGUUUCGACCACCAAAAUAUGCAUCAUCUAUUAGAGAUGCUCUAAACAGAGAACCAAGUCUUGCCUUAAAUCACAAGCAUGUUCACUGUGUAUUGAUACGACUUGACAAUCCAUUCGUCGAGCACAAGUACUCCCUCCAUGUCAUAAUAUAAGUGUUUUUUAUACUAGUAUAGUGUCAAAAACGCUCUUAUAUUAUGAUACGGAGGGAGUAGUUUUCUUACAUGCUUUAUAAGGAUUAUUUUUUUUGGUUUCCUUAUGCUUUUUACUCUUGCAGCACAUGUCGCCGUUUACGUAUGUUGUGCACCGUAUGACUGGGCCUGCAAUGAUGGGCAUGUGCAGUAGCGCUCUUAAUAUGUUGUGCACCAUCUCACUGGGUCUUCGUACGGGCACAACAAUGCACACAGAACGAACGCUACUCCAGCCAUUCAGAGGUCAGAACUCACAUUAACUAGCAAACAGGUCUGCUUCUCAGGCUCGCAUCAACCACUGUUUGCUCAACUCUGGGAGGAAAAAUAGCAUGAUCGAUCACACGACACAGACUAGCCUGUCCAAUAUGAGCAGUUUAUUCUCUGUAAACAGAAAACCAAGUCCUUUUAACAACAGGUCAAAUGCAAAUGCAAUGCAAGGCAUCUUUUCCGGAUAUUGACAUAGCCCCCAUUCGGUUCCCCAUAUAGCUAGCCAUUCUAAAUCCCAGGACAGGCAUGCUUAGGUUAAACAACGGGCAAUGAAACCUCAUUUCAGAAUGUAAUUCAUUUAAUAAAUGUGAAAAGGCAUGUCCUCAAUGACAGAAUACAUAAGCAUGCUGAAUUAUUUGUGCAACAUAGAGAAAAGCAUCACUUGCUGUUCUGCAGCGAUUGCUGGAAGAGAGUACAUGACAGGAGCAUAAAUUCCAACCACAAGACAGCAGUAGCGCUGACACGAAAGCAAUUGAGGAGACUCAAACAGAUGAUUUAGAGGGGCCCUGCAAAUGUCCCGUUCUCCCUCUGCUCGUUCCACUUCUCAACCUGAUUCAGUGAGACCAAAAAAAGCUGAUGACACUGAAGAAAACAAGGCAAUGUUGCUACUGUUAACAAUAGAAGUUCCAUGAAAUUGCUUGCUUUUGAACCAAAGAGAGGUGAUAGAUAUGGUCUAGCACGCAACAUCACUCAAGCAUUGAGGCAUGGAGGAACUGUUCUGCGCGAAGUGUAAAAUUCAACAUUGAUUUUUCAACCCUCAAAAGACUGGUAUAUGAAAUGGUCAGCUGAGGACAAAAAGAAUAACUCGAGCAGGCAUAGUGAAUAUGUGAUAAAUCAAGGUUCGGCAUUGUUGUAGCUGUAUGAUAAAUCAAGCAAUUGCCAGUUUCCAAAAUGGAAGCAACACGAGGCUUCUGAUGCGCCUUUUUUUUUCCAGAUUCACAAACUAUAUUCAUUUCCUCAGGUCAAUUCAUUUGCAAGAGAGGUAACAGGUUUAUGCUUGUCGAAUCCUAAUUAUUCUACAUUAGCAGUUUUUGUUUUUGUUCACUGUGACCUCAGAUGCAGUCUGCAAAUUGCUGCUACAGAUAUUAUUACUGCUAGAGUAUCCAAAUAACUUUAAAAGGUUAAUAGUAAAGUCAAAUAAAGAGAAACUCAUGUGCUACUUCCUACCACUACAGAGUCAUACACAUAUACUGGCAUAAAUAACUAACUUGAUUCAGAUAGAUUUGAAAAUUGAGAAGCAAUAGUCUAGACUUAGAUGUAGUAAUUCAUGUAAUAUAUUUCUUACCUUCUGGCAAGUUCACUAUGCAUUGACUAUUGCAGUGGAAACAAGGACCAUUUAAUUCAACUUCUAAAAUCUACUGAAAACUAAGACUGUACUGUUUAAAAUCAAACAUCAACAUAUAGUGCCUUUGCAAUUGAAGGUAAUGAUAAUGGUGGCAGUUAUACACUAUACAGUAUAGCCACAGGGAGCAAAGCCACUCACCCAUUCAGCUGGGCAAAGAGAUCGGUAGUACUUGGCAAAUUUCUCACAUUCAGCAGCUUCAUCCCCCUUGGCACUCACACACCUAGUUUCAUGAAAGUUCACAUAGUUAAGAAAUGUUGAACAUAUUUAGCGCAUGUAAGUUGUAAAGUUAUUGCACCAUAUAUACCUGUGGAACUCAACAUAGCGAGUAAAACAGUGUCUAGUUUGGUUGGUUGUAGGAAAGCGGAAGUCAGCAGGUGCUGUUUUAAUCUCAAUCUGGUAAACAAGCAAAAUAAUAUUGGUAAGCUCGGACGGCAUAUGGAGCACAAAAUAAAAGUAGACAACAUUUUGGAAGAUGGUUACAAGGUUCAAAACGACAAAAACUUAGAAAAGGGUUAUCGGUCAAACUUCCCGAUAAACAAUAACCAAGGCGGUGAAGUUCUCUAGAGUGAAACAUGGAUAAAGUUUCCAGCAAACUAUCUUGCAGUUCAAGUCAGACGGUGGCAUGUAUAAGUAAACGGUACGUCUGAAUCCGGUACUGCGGUGGUGGUAGAAUCUUUUUCUAAACACCACUCACGUUGUACUGCAGAUAACAGGAGAACGAUAACCAAACCAAUCUGACGAAUCUCCUAAACAUUAAGCAUCCAAUGCCAUCACAUAUAACACUCAUCCGCUGUCUUUCAAACAGGAUAACACUGAAAUACAGCCCAAUCAGGUAGGUUCUGAGUCCAUCGUCCCUAAUACACCCGACAAACAGUAACCGUUGCAUGGUGGUAGAGUUUCCUAGAGUAAAACAUGGAUAAAGUUUCCAGCAAACAUAUCUUGCAGUUCAGUCUAAUGGUGGCAUGUAUAAGUAAAAUGGCACAUCCGGAUUCGGUACAUGCGGUGGUGGUAGAAGUUUUAUCUACAUACUACUCUCAUUGUACGGCAUAUAACAAGAGAACGAUAACCAGACCAAUCCAACGAAUCUCCUAAGCAUUAAGCAUCCAAUGGCCAUCACAUAUACCACUCAUCCGCUAUCUUUAAAACAGGCUAACACUGAAAAACACCACCGCGGCAGAUGGGUUCUGACUUCUGAGUCUAUCGUCCCUAAUUCAACACUGAUGACGCACAUCAAAUCACAUUACAGAGCCAGCCAGCCCUGAGAAUUCACCUUAAGUUCAAAAAAAGAUCUUGGGAAUUCAACGUUCCGACUUUUGAUCUAGUACGAUAUAGGAUCUACCAGGAAAAAUCCGUAAAUUACCCAAUACAGCAAGACGCUAAUCGUGCAAAAUGGAACGAAGCCAACCCCACCAAUCGCCCAGAAUGAAUAGGAUGCGAAACAGAAGGACCUAGGGUUCAGGACGAACACAGCUAUCGCAACCUACAUCACGCGCAGAUAGGCGCCCCACGGCACAGAUCCACGCGGCGAGGAGCCGACCAACUCUAACCGCGGCGCGAUCGACGAACCGAUGAAUGCACCCUGCGCUGUGUUACAGGGUGAGCCGGCAGAAGAUUCGUCCGGGAGGGAGAAGGGGAUCCUGGAAGGUUCUCUCACCUCGGCCAUCUCGUCGGAGGCUGGAGAUCGGAGGCGAGGAAGGAAUCGCGGCGUCGCGGACCGGACAGACGGGGGCUCGACGGGAAAGGGGAAGAAGGAGGAGUGAGGGGGGGCCUGGUCAAGGCGGAGCUUAAUAUUCGGAACUGGCCCGUAAUAGUUGUGGGCUGUAUGGGCCGAGGCAGGCUCGAAUGUCCAUCGACUAUCAGACCUUUCCUUCUUCUAAAAAAACAAAAAUCAGACCUUUCCUUUUUUGCAAUUAAAAUAAACGGCAAUUUAAGCAUGGCAACCCGAACGUUUUUUAUGGCAACUUUAGUCAUGUGAGGUUGACAAACAUUGCAAUUUUCUGAAAAAAACAAACUGAGACAAAGUUUCCAUGUCUUAACAACUAAAGUUGACAUCCCGCGUCAACUAAAGUUGUCAUGUAAAAACGUUCAGGAUGAAAUGCUUAAAAUCCGAAAAACGUUCGGAUUUUAUCGGGGUCCAAAAGAAAUCAGACCUUCAGACCUUUCCUUUCUUCGCUCAAAAAAAUCCAAACCCUUUCCAGGUAGUUCUCCUGCUCCGCCUCGCACGUUACAAAGGUCACUUCCAUCUUCACCCGCUACACGUGCAACACUUUUUUUCGAGAAAUUUGUUGAUCUAUUCAUCAACUCUUAUAGCCUGUUUGGUAAACACUCAGAUAGGGGAAUGAGAGUUUACACAAGGGUGUCGGGGGGGAGAGGGGGGUAGGCAUGAGAAGUAGAGUUUUACGCCCAUUCCCUUGUUUGGCAUAUGAUGGGAAUUAGUGUGGGAUAAAAUUCUGCUCACGAAUUUACAGGGUACCCCCUGCAAAGAAAUCAGUGGAAAUUGGCUUUCUCAACUCCCAUUCCCCUUCCUACUUAAACUCCCAUUCCCUCUAAUCAAACAGUGAACUUUUAAUCUCCUCACCCCUCAACUCCCAUUCCCCAUCUCUAAUCCCCCAACCAAACACGUUGUUAAGGUAGUACAAAAAAGACUAGAAGUAAAAUUUACAUACAGGUCCAUAGACCACCUAUCGACGACCACAAGCACUUGAGCAAGCCGAAGGCGCGCCGCCGUCAUCGCCCAUCCCUUGUCGAAGCCGGGCAAACAUUGUUGUAGUAGACAGUCAGGAAGUCAUCUUGCUAAGGCCUCAUAGGACCACCGCACCAGAACAGCAACCGUCGUCGAUGAAGAUAAGCAUAGACCAGAAGGAUCCAACCUGCAGACACACAGACGUAGACGAACGAAGACCGGAUCCAGUCAGAUCCACCGAAGACAAACGCCGACCGGAUCCCUCGAGAUCCGCCGGAGACAAACCUCCACACACCUUCUGACGAUGCUUGAAACAUCACCGAGACAUGGGCUAAGUGGGGAGGACCUUAUUCCAUCUUCAAGAAGCCGCCGCCGUCUCAUCUUCUUGAGCAUGGCACAAACCCUAACAAAACUCAGAAAAGCAUCUCAAAACGAAGCCCUCCCGCCGGCAAGGGUCGGGAUCCACCAUGCCUCCAUGAUCCAAUGACCAUAGAAGAUGAGGCGGACCGACGGCGCCGGCGAGAGGCAAGGAAACCCUAGAUGAGAGUUUGCACGUGGGUAGGAGCGAAGAGUUACGUGGCGCAAUUGGACACUUGUGGCAAACAGAUUAUUUUGCUCGGAUUUUUUUCUCACGCACGGGAGACGCACGGUUGGUUUGUUUGUGCCUUCCGUAGAUAUGUUUUUUCAAAACAUUUAUCUUCCGAUCCAUGCGUCCGAAUCAUGAAUCAUUUUCACCUUUUGCAUUUUUUACAUUGAGAUCUUCAUAACUAUAUUCUAUUUUGAUAAGGUUUGACAUUUUCUCCCAAGAAAAUAUGUGCUUUCAACUAAUAGUAACUUGAGCUUCUAAACUUAUAUUAAAUCGUACUUCUAAGUAAUGUAAUUUAUGCUUCCGCAGGGUAAGGUAGAGUUGUGCUUCACUUUUAUGAAACACGGUUAUGCUUAUGCGAAAAAAAGAACUAAAAAGGAAACAAAACAAUAGAAACCUAGAAAAAAAACAAAAUUCUUGGGAAAAAAACUCAAAAAAUGAAAACCAAACAAAUCAACACAAAAAGACCCGAAGAAAAACCUUUCAAUGGGAGAAGUGCCUAGUGGAUGGUAGCGCUAGAACGCUUCUGCAUCAUAGAGACUGUCAGAUGGUACCCUAAAAGGUGCAUACGCAUGAACACACUAGUCGAUAAUAAAUAGGUAUCAAAAACGAUAAUAUAUCGUCCAUUUAGUCCCCAGGAUCUUAGGUGAACUCACACAGAUCUUUUGUGAACAUAACAAGGAAGCUUUUUUAUCAUAGUUUACAAUGUUUUGCGGGUAUACAAAGAAAGUGCACAUUUUUUAUACACACAAACAACUAAAAACUAAUGACUCUAAAUGCACACAUAUCACCGGAAGUACAAUGCACCCUGGUGCGUCCAUUUUGCAUCAUGCUUUUAUAUCAAUAUUUAUUACAUUAUGGGUUGUUAUUACACAUUAUAUCUCAAUACUUAUGGCUAUUCUCUCUUAUUUUACAAGGUUUACCAUGAAGAGGGGGAAUGCCGGCAGCUAGAAUUCUGGCUGGAAAAGGAGCAAAUAUUGAAAACAUAUUCUGCACAGCUCCAAAAAUCAUGAAACUCCACGGAAGUCAGUUUUGGAAUUAUUAAGAAUUAUUGAGCGAAGAAAGCACAAGAGGGGCCCCACACCCUGGCCAGGAGGGUGGGGGGCGCGCCCCUGUCUCCUGGGCCCCCUGGUGGCCCUCCGGUGCCCAUCUUAUGCUAUAUGAAGGCUUUUACCCUGGAAAAAAUUAGAGGCAAGCUUACGGGACAAAACUUCGCCGCCACGAAGCGGAACCUUGGUGGAACCAAUCUAGGGCUCCGGCAGAGUUGUCCUGCCAGAGAAACUUCCCUCCGGGAGGGGGAAAUCAUCACCAUCUUCAUCACCAACGAUCCUCUCAUCGGGAGGGGGUCAAUCUCCAUCAACAUCUUCACCAGCACCAUCUCCUCUCAAACCCUAGUUCAUCUCUUGUAUCCAAUCUUGUAUCAAAACCACAAAUUGGUACCUGUGGGUUGCUAGUAGUGUUGAGUACUCCUUGUAGUUGAUGCUAAUUGGUUUAUUUGGUGGAAGAUCAUAUGUUCAGAUCCUUAAUGCAUAUUAUUACUCCUCUGAUUAUGAGCAUGAAUAUGCUUUGUGAGUAGUUACGUUUGUUCCUGAGGACAUGGGGAAGUCUUGCUAUUAGUAGUCAUGUGAAUUUGGUAUUCGUUCGAUAUUUUGAUGAGAUGUAUGUUGUCUUUCCUCUAGUGGUGUUAUGUGAACAUUGACUACAUGACACUUCACCAUUAUUUGGACCUAGAGGAAGGCAUUGGGAUUUGGGAAGUAAUAAGUAGAUGAUGGGUUGCUAGAGUGACAGAAGGUUAAACCCUAGUUUAUGCGUUGCUUCGUAAGGGGCUGAUUUGGAUCCAUAUGUCUAAUGUUGUGGUUAGGUUUACCUUAGUACUUCUUUUGUAGUUGCAGAUACUUGCAAUAGGGGUUAAUCAUAAGUGGGUUGCUUGUCCAAGUAAGGGCAGUACCCAACCACCGGUCCACCCACAUAUCAAAUUAUCAAAGUACCGAACGCGAAUCAUAUGAGCAUGAUGAAAACUAGCUUGACAAUAAUUCCCAUGUGUCCUCGGGAGCUCUUUUUAUAAGAAAUUGUCCACGCUUGUCCUUUGCUACAAAAAGGAUUGGGCCACCUUGCUGCACUUUAUUUACUUUCAUUGCUCGUUACCCGUUACAAUUUAUCUUAUCACAAAACUAUCUGUUACCUACAAUUUCAGUGCUUGCAGAGAAAACCUUACUGAAAACCACUUGUCAUUUCCUUUUGCUCCUCGUUGGGUUCGACACUUUUACUUAUCGAAAGGACUACGAUAGAUCCCCUAUACUUGUGGGUCAUCAAGACUCUUUUAUGGCGCCGUUGCUGGGGAGUGAAGCGCCUUUGGUGAGUGGAACUUGGUAAGGAAACAUUUACAUAGUGUGCUAAAAAAAUUUGUCACUUGUUACUAUGGAAACUAAUCCUUUGAGGGGCUUGUUCGGGGUAUCUUCACCCCGACCAGAAGAGCAAAGAGUUGCUCCUCAACCUACUAAACCUACUGAAAACAUUUACUUUGAGAUUCCUUCGGGUAUGAUAGAGAAACUGCUAGCUAAUCCCUUUGCAGGAGAUGGAACAUUGCAUCCCGAUUUACACCUUAUCUUUGUGGAUGAAGUUUGUGGAUUAUUUAAGCUUGCAGGUAUCCCCGAUGAUGUUGUCAAGAGGAAGGUCUUCCCUUUAUCUUUGAAGGGAGAUGCAUUGACAUGGUAUUGGCUAUGUGAUGAUACGGGAUCUUGGAAUUAUAAACGAUUGAAGUUGGAAUUUCACCAGAAGUUCUAUCCUAUGCAUCUUGUUCAUCGUGAUCGUAGUUACAUAUAUAAUUCCUGGCCUCAUGAAGGAGAAAGCAUCGCUCAAGCUUGGGGGAGGCUUAAGUCAAUGUUAUAUUCAUGCCCCAAUCAUGAGCUCUCAAGAGAAAUGAUUAUUCAAAAAAUUUAUGCUCGGCUUUCUCCCAAUGAUCGCAACAUGCUCGAUACUUCCUGUGUUGGUUCUUAUAUGUUGAAGACUAUUGAAUUCAAAUGGGACUUAUUGGAAAGAAUUAAACCCAACUCUGAAGAUUGGGGUUCCGACGAUGGUAAGGAAUCAGGUAUGACACCUAAGUUUGAUUGUGUUAAAUCUUUUAUGGAUACCGAUGCUUUUCGUGGAUUUAGCGCUAAAUAUGGACUUGACUCUGAGAUAGUAGUUUCUUUCUGUUAAUCUUUUGCUACUCACGUUGAUCUCCCUAAGGAGAAGUGGUUUAAAUAUAAUCCUCCAAUUGAAGUAAAAGUAGUUGCACCUAUUACAGUUGAAGAAAAGACUAUCACUUAUAAUGAUCCUAUUGUUCCUACUACUUAUGUUGAGAAACCUCCUUUUCCUGUUAGGAUAAAGGAUCAUGCUAAAACUUCGACUGUUGUUCGUAAGAGUAAUACUAGGACUUAUACACCUCCUGAGCAAAUCAAAGUUGAACCUAGUAUUGCUAUGGUUAAAGAUAUCUUGGAUGGUAAUUUAGAUGGGCAUGUUAUCUAUUUCUAUGUUGAGACUGCUAAUAUUGUUAGACAAGAUGCUAAGAUACAUAGACCUGUUGUAGGCAUGCCUAUUAUUUCUGUUAAAAUAGGAGAUCAUUGUUAUCAUGGCUUAUGUGACAUGGGUGCUAGUGCUAGUGCAAUACCCUAUGACUUUUAUAAAGAAAUUAUGCAUAAUAUUGCACCAGCUGAAAUAGAAGAUAUUGAUGUUACCAUUAAGCUUGCUAAUAGGGACACCAUUAAACCAGUAGGGAUUGGUAGAGAUGUCGAAUCUUGUGUGGGAAGGUCAAAUAUCCUGCUGAUUUUCUUGUUCUUGGUUCCCCACAAGAUGAUUUUUGUCCCAUUAUUUUUGGUAGACCCUUCUUGAAUACUGUUAAUGCUAGGAUUGAUUGUGAAAAGGAUACUGCUACAAUUGGUUUAGAGGAUGUGUCUCAUGAGUUUAAUUUUGCUAAGUUUCAUAGACAACCUCGUGAUAGAGAAUCAUCUAGUAAGGAUGAGAUUAUUGGUCUUGCUUCUAUUGCUGUGCCUCCUACUGAUCCGUUAGAACAAUAUUUGCUAGACCAUGAAAAUGAUAUGUUUAUGAAGGAAAGAAGGAAAAUAGAUGAAGUGUUCCUUCAACAGGAACCUAUUCUGAAACACAACCUACCCGUUGAAAUGCUAGGGGAUCUCCCUCCACCCAACGGUGAUCCUGUCGGAGUAAUGGGCCACGGGUAGGCUAACCCGAGCCCCAGAACCUUUCAAGACAUUGGGAUAAGUAGCGCCGCUUAUGCCGAGUCCUAGGGACGACUCCAAGAUGUGUCGAGUCCCAGGCGACGACUCCAAGUUAUGCCGAGUCCCAGGGACGACUCCAAGAUGUGCCGAGUCCCAGGAGACGACUCCAAGUUAUGCCGAGUCCCAGGGACGACUCCAAGAUGUGCUGAGUCCCAGGCGGAGACUCCAAGAUAAGCCGACUCAUGACCGGCGACUUCCAGAGAGGCCGGCUAUGGAGAGUUGGCCCGCGACUCCACCCUCGUCUCGAAGGGCGAGGAGGGGUACGGCCACAGCGUGGCCGUCCCCCCUGCUUACAAGGGGUCGGCAUGGCUACAGUAAGCCAUAUCGCUGAAGAUCUCUGGCGAGGCGUGGCACUGUUGCCAUGCCUGCCCUGACCUCAGCCACAGUGGGCGGCGCACUGUGCCCACGACGCCUGCCUAUACGACCCAAAGACGGUGGGGCCGCCUGUCAGUGGGUAGAUAGAAGACGGCACGAGCGCCCUGAAGACGGACCCGUGGGAGUCGGCCCCCUGGAGUCGGCCGACCCCUCCCACAGGCCCCGCGCGCCAUUAACCAGACAAGAUGGGGAAUGGCGACAGUGAACGCACGCCAGACGGCGGCGCUGUUGCCAUGACCACAUGACCAAGCUAGUGUCAUCAGGAGUACUGCUACAGUAUCAGGCCUGUCCGCGGGGCCCACCAGUCGGCAGGCCCCAGUAGUCGGCAGAGAGGACGAUGGCCUGAGAGACAGACGGCUGGGCCCCGUGCCCAGCCAAAUUACCAUUGUACCCCUGGGGGGUAGGCCUAUAUAAACCCCCUAGGAAGCCCAUGCAAAGGGUUCGGACCCAGAUAGAGAUAGACCUUAGAGCAUAGGAAGGAGAGAGCUAGCCUUGCCCUCUCCCACCUCCAGAAACAGCUCCAGGAGCACCAUUGUAACCACUUUGCCAUAGUGACCAUGCGGAGACCCCGCAGAGCAGCAGUAGGGGUGUUAUCUCCUCGGAGAACCCUGAAGCUGGGUAAGUUCCGCCGGCGUGCAUGUCUUCGCCUCAUCUCGCUUCCGGGCACCGGCGACGUUCUACUCGCUUCCACCAUGAUAAGCCAUCCUUUGUCAUAUGUCAUACCCAACCCCCGACAUUUGGCGCCCACCGUGGGGCGAGGUGCACCGUCGUCCGGAGACCUGCUCUGGAUGGGAACCCUUUUCCUCCCUGGCGAGCGCAGCCAGCCCGGCACGCCAGAUGGAGCCUGCACCGAUGUACUACACGACGCUGAGAUCGCCUGCGUGGCCAGCUGCCUCACCGAGCUUAUCGGUGAGGUUCUCCUCUCCGACGAGCCUGCGUCCGACGCAGGCACAAGCGGCCCCGAGAUCCUCCUCGCGGGUCUCCUCGACCAGCUCCACAUCGCUGGCAAGCCUGUCGUGGACCUGGAGUCCAUAGGAUCCACCGACCCGAUGCUGGUCGACUCCGACAUCGCGUCGCUCGACGCAUUUCCCACCAACAUGGUGGUCUACGAUGAGCCGCUCCCUUGCGCGGGGAGCGGCGGAAGCACCGUCAUGGAGGUCCUCGUCCUCGAUCACGGCGAGUGUUCCGGUGAAGGAGCACACGACCCGCUCGACGCGGCUCUGCGAGACCUCACCGCGCCGAUUCCGGGAGACGCUGACGCCGAGACGCUGGAGGCACGCCGCCUUCAGCUGAUCGAGGGCGCGAAGAAGUUGGCAAGCAUGAGGCGCUUGUCAGAAGCCUACCAGCGCGAGAUGGAUCACGCCGUGGGCGGCUCGCCGGCUCUGACAGGGCCUAGCUGCCUAGGCGCGGUCCGGCAACGCGGCGCGUCAAUCGCCAACUUGUUCGGGGUCGAUCGCCCUGUGUAUGCCACGCCCGCAAAGAACAUCCGCGCCGCCCAGGCGGCGGCAGACGAGCUCGACAACUUCGAGGGCGAAGAGCACCGCAUGAUGACGGAGCGAGUUCAGCAGCUCCUCGAUGCGGCUGCCACGCAGAACGAAGCGGGCUGCCGCACGGAGGCACCGCAGCGACAAAACGAUGACCUGCCACCCCGCCGAGACCAAGGCGCGACGUCUCGGACGCCGACUGGCGGGGCCCGCGAAAAGAAGGACAAGGAGCCGGCUGUCAGCCAUAGUCGGACUCGCAUCACCAUCGAGCACGACCAAGACGGCCGCCCCAAGGCGGUGGAACGGCGGGACGACUAUCUGCCUCCCCCUCCUCGCAGAGAAAGGCGAAUCUCCCCGCCGCCCGUGGAACAUCCGACUCUCGGCGACCGUCUUGGCCACCGAGAGGGAGUCGGAGAGAACGAUGCCCGCCACCGGAUCGACCGACUCCACCGGUCCCUGGCGCUGGAAGAAGAAAACGAGUUGGGUCCUCCCUGUUUUGGACCCCGCAUCUGGGAUGAGCCCUUCCCCAAAGGGUUCACGCUCCCCCGAGACACGCCCAAAUAUACCGGCACCGUGAAGCCGGAGGACUGGCUGAUCGAUUACUCCACAGCCGUCAAUAGAGCGAACGGCAACAAGCGUGUUGCCAUAAGAUAUGUCCCGCUCAUGCUCCAGGGCUUGGCCCGGACAUGGUUGAAUAGUCUAAAGCCUCGCAGCAUCAACAGCUGGGUUGACUUCACUGAGGCCUUCGUCCGCAACUUCACAAGCACGUACAAGCGACCUCCCAAGCCUCGUCAACUCUCCUUGUGCGUGCAAGGUCCCGACGAGUCCACUCGCGACAACCUCACGCGCUGGGGCGAGCUCCGGAACUCCUGCGAGGGCGUGCAUGAGGUGCAGGCUAUCGAGUACUUUACUGCCGGGUGCAGAGAAGGCACCCUCCUCAAGCACAAGCUUCUCUGCGACGAGCCGGAGACCCUCGAUGAACUGUUGAUCAUAGCAGACAAGUACGCCACGGUCGACUCCUCCAUGAAGGCGGAGAUUCAAGUCAGUGCGACUGGCAAAGUCGUCCCUCAGGCUCCGAGAACUCCGGCUGGGGAUGCAAGUCGGCGGCAACAGCAGAACGACCACCAGCGCAAGGCCCCGCAGCCGGCUUCCAACAGCCGGCAAGUGCCGACAGUCGAAGACCAACGGCCGGAGGGACCGCCUCCGGCAAAGCGGCAGAAGGGCGGCAAGUCCAACUGGUUGCCGAUCUUCUCCUACGAGCAGACCUUGGAUGGCCCCUGCAAGUUCCACAGCGGUGCAAAGCCGUCAAACCACACCACCCGGAAAUGCCACUAGCUGACCAGAAUCGCCAAGGGAGACGGCCUACUCCCUCCCCCGCCUGCUGGGCCGCCUCCACCACAGCCGCCCCAGCAGCCGGCUGUCAGGCCAGUCGGCGCGAUACAAGACGAGUUCCCAGAUGAGCACGGAGCCUAUGUGGUGUUCACUAGUGUGGCAGAUGAUCGGCGCAGCAGGCGCCAACAGCAGCAAGAGGUGAACGCAGUCGCGUCAAGCACUCCAGAAUUAAUGCACUGGUCCGAAAGGCCCAUUAGUUGGAGCAGAGCCGAUCACCCAGAGGUGAUGCCGAGUCCAGGCUCCUACGCCUUGGUCUUAGGCGCCACACUCGCCACAGAUAGGCGGGCCGCUCGCUUCUCGCGAGUGCUGAUAGACGGAGGCAGCAGUAUCAACAUCCUGUACAAGGAUACGAUGGAGAAGUUAGGAAUCAAGCAAAGACAGCUUUAGAGCAGCCGGACUGUGUUCACGGAAUUGUUCCUGGCCUUUCCUGCUCACCAAUUGGCAAGAUCCUGAUAGACGUCCUCUUUGGGGACAAAGAUCAUUUCCGCCGAGAGCCAAUUUGGUUUGAAGUGGUGGACCUUGAAAGCCCGUACCAUGUGUUGCUUGGCCGACCAGCUUUGGCCAAGUUCAUGGCAGUCCCCCACUACGCUGAAGGAAAUAUGCCCUAGAGGCAAUAAUAAAGUUAUUAUUUAUUUCCUUAUAAUCAUGAUAAAUGUUUAUUAUUCAUGCUAGAAUUGUAUUUACCGGAAACAUAAUACAUGUGUGAAUACAUAGACAAACAGAGUGUCACUAGUAUGCCUCUACUUGACUAGCUCGUUAAUCAAAGAUGGUUAUGUUUCCUAACCAUGAACAAUGAGUUGUUAUUUGAUUAACGAGGUCACAUCAUUAGUAGAAUGAUCUGAUUGACAUGACCCAUUCCAUUAGCUUAGCACCCGAUCGUUUAGUAUGUUGCUAUUGCUUUCUUCAUGACUUAUACAUGUUCCUAUGACUAUGAGAUUAUGCAACUCCCGUUUACCGGAGGAACACUUUGGGUACUACCAAACGUCACAACGUAACUGGGUGAUUAUAAAGGAGUACUACAGGUGUCUCCAAUGAUCGAUGUUGGGUUGGCGUAUUUCGAGAUUAGGAUUUGUCACUCCGAUUGUCGGAGAGGUAUCUCUGGGCCCUCUCGGUAAUACACAUCACAUAAGCCUUGCAAGCAUUACAACUAAUAUGUUAGUUGUGAGAUGAUGUAUUACGGAACGAGUAAAGAGACUUGCCGGUAACGAUAUUGAACUAGGUAUUGGAUACCGACGAUCGAAUCUCGGGCAAGUAACAUACCGAUGACAAAGGGAACAACGUAUGUUGUUAUGCGGUCUGACCGAUAAAGAUCUUCGUAGAAUAUGUAGGAGCCAAUAUGGGCAUCCAGGUCCCGCUAUUGGUUAUUGACCAGAGACAUGUCUCGGUCAUGUCUACAUUGUUCUCGAACCCGUAGGGUCCGCACGCUUAAGGUUACGAUGACAGUUAUAUUAUGAGUUUAUGCAUUUUGAUGUACCGAAGGUUGUUCGGAGUCCCGGAUGUGAUCACGGACAUGACGAGGAGUCUCGAAAUGGUCGAGACAUAAAGAUUGAUAUAUUGGAAGCCUAUGUUUGGACAUCGGAAGUGUUCCGGGUGAAAUCGGGAUUUUACCGGGUUACCGGGAGGUUACCGGAACCCCCCGGGAACCACAUGGGCCUUCAUGGGCCUUAGUGGAAAGGAGAAAAGGGCAGCCCAAGGGGGCUGCGCGCCUCCCCCCUUCCCCUAGUCCUAUUAGGACUAGGAGAGGUGGCCGGCCACCCCUCUCCCUCUUUCCCCCUUGGGAAUCCUAAUUGGAAUAGGAUUGGAGGGGAGUCCUACUCCCGGUAGGAGUAGGACUCCUCCUGCGCCUCCUCCUCCUGGCCGGCGCACCCUCCCCCCUUGGCUCCUUUAUAUACUGAGGCAGGGGCACCUCUAAACACACAAGUUGACACAAGUUGAUCCACGUGAUCAAUUCCUUAGCCGUGUGCGGUGCCCCCUGCCCCCUGCCACGACGCCUUAUGAACUGUGGUUUGGCAAGAAACCAAAGUUGUCGUUUCUUAAAGUUUGGGGCUGCGAUGCUUAUGUGAAAAAACUUCAAACUGAUAAGCUCGAACCCAAAUCGGAGAAAUGUGUCUUCAUAGGAUACCCAAAGGAAACUGUUGGGUACACCUUCUAUCACAGAUCCGAAGGCAAAACAUUCGUUGCUAAGAAUGGAUCAUUUCUAGAGAAGGAGUUUCUCUCGAAAGAAGUGAGUGGGAGGAAAGUAGAACUUGACGAGGUAACUGUACCUGCUCCCUUACUGGAAAGUAGUUCAUCACAGAAAACUGUUUCAGUGACACCUACACCGGUUAGUGAGGAAGCCAAUGAUAAUGAUCAUGAAACUUCAGAUCAAGAUACUACUGAACCACGUAGAUCAACCAGAGUAAGAUCCGCGCCAGAGUGGUACGGAAAUCCUGUUCUGGAAGUCAUGCUACUAGAUCAUGAUGAACCUACGAACUAUGAAGAAGCGAUGGUGAGCCCAGAUUCCGCAAAGUGGCUUGAAGCCAUGAAAUCUGAGAUGGGAUCCAUGUAUGAGAACAAAGUAUGGACUUUGGUUGACUUGCCCAAUGAUCGGCAAGCAAUUGAGAAUAAAUGGAUCUUUAAGAAGAAGACUGACGCUGAUGGUAAUGUUACUGUCUACAAAGCUCGACUUGUCGCAAAAGGUUUUCGACAAGUUCAAGGGAUUGACUACGAUGAGACCUUCUCACCCGUAGCGAUGCUUAAGUCCGUCCGAAUCAUGUUAGCGAUUGCCGCAUUUAAUGAUUAUGAAAUUUGGCAGAUGGAUGUCAAAACUGCAUUCCUGAAUGGAUUUCUGGAAGAAGAGUUGUAUAUGAUGCAACCAGAAGGUUUUGUCGAUCCAAAGGGAGCUAACAAAGUGUGCAAGCUCCAGCGAUCCAUUUAUGGACUGGUGCAAGCCUCUCGGAGUUGGAAUAAACGUUUUGAUAGUGUGAUCAAAGCAUUUGGUUUUAUACAGACUUUCGGAGAAGCCUGUAUUUACAAGAAAGUGAGUGGGAGCUCUGUAGCAUUUCUGAUAUUAUAUGUGGAUGACAUAUUACUGAUUGGAAAUGAUAUAGAAUUUCUGGAUAGCAUAAAGGGAUACUUGAAUAAAAGUUUUUCAAUGAAAGACCUCGGAGAAGCUGCUUACAUAUUAGGCAUUAAGAUCUAUAGAGAUAGAUCAAGACGCUUAAUUGGACUUUCACAAAACACAUACCUUGACAAAAUUUUGAAGAAAUUCAAAAUGGAUCAAGCGAAGAAAGGGUUCUUGCCUGUGUUACAAGGUGUGAAAUUGAGUAAGACUCAAUGCCCGACCACUGCAGAAGAUAGAGAGAAUAUGAAAGAUGUUCCCUAUGCAUCUGCCAUAGGCUCUAUCAUGUAUGCAAUGCUGUGUACCAGACCUGAUGUGUGCCUUGCUAUAAGUUUAGCAGGGAGGUACCAAAGUAAUCCAGGAGUGGAUCACUGGACAGCGGUCAAGAACAUCCUGAAAUACCUGAAAAGGACUAAGGAUAUGUUUCUCGUAUAUGGAGGUGACAAAGAGCUCACCGUAAAAGGUUACGUUGAUGCAAGCUUUAACACUGAUCCGGACGAUUCUAAAUCGCAAACCGGAUACGUGUUUACAUUAAACGGUGGAGCUGUCAGUUGGUGCAGUUCUAAACAAAGCGUUGUAGCGGGAUCUACAUGUGAAGCGGAAUACAUAGCUGCUUCGGAAGCAGCAAAUGAAGGAGUCUGGAUGAAGGAGUUCAUAUCCGAUCUAGGUGUCAUACCUAGUGCAUCGGGUCCAAUGAAAAUCUUUUGUGACAAUACUGGUGCAAUUGCCUUAGCAAAGGAAUCCAGAUUUCACAAAAGGACCAAACACAUCAAGAGACGCUUCAACUCCAUCCGGGAUCUAGUCCAGGUGGGAGACAUAGAGAUUUGCAAGAUAUAUACGGAUCUGAAUGUUGCAGACCCGUUGACUAAGCCUCUUCCACGAGCAAAACAUGAUCAGCACCAAGGCUCCAUGGGUGUUAGAAUCAUUACAGUGUAAUCUAGAUUAUUGACUCUAGUGCAAGUGGGAGACUGAAGGAAAUAUGCCCUAGAGGCAAUAAUAAAUUUAUUAUUUAUUUCCUUAUAAUCAUGAUAAAUGUUUAUUAUUCAUGCUAGAAUUGUAUUUACCGGAAACAUAAUACAUGUGUGAAUACAUAGACAAACAGAGUGUCACUAGUAUGCCUCUACUUGACUAGCUCGUUAAUCAAAGAUGGUUAUGUUUCCUAACCAUGAACAAUGAGUUGUUAUUUGAUUAACGAGGUCACAUCAUUAGUAGAAUGAUCUGAUUGACAUGACCCAUUCCAUUAGCUUAGCACCCGAUCGUUUAGUGUGUUGCUAUUGCUUUCUUCAUGACUUAUACAUGUUCCUAUGACUAUGAGAUUAUGCAACUCCCGUUUACCGGAGGAACACUUUGGGUACUACCAAACGUCACAACGUAACUGGGUGAUUAUAAAGGAGUACUACAGGUGUCUCCAAUGGUCGAUGUUGGGUUGGCGUAUUUCGAGAUUAGGAUUUGUCACUCCGAUUGAUGGAGAGGUAUCUCUGGGCCCUCUCGGUAAUACACAUCACAUAAGCCUUGCAAGCAUUGCAACUAAUAUGUUAGUUGUGAGAUGAUGUAUUACGGAACGAGUAAAGAGACUUGCCGAUAACGAGAUUGAACUAGGUAUUGGAUACCGACGAUCGAAUCUCGGGCAAGUAACAUACCGAUGACAAAGGGAACAACGUAUGUUGUUAUGCGGUCUGACCGAUAAAGAUCUUCGUAGAAUAUGUAGGAGCCAAUAUGGGCAUCCAGGUCCCGCUAUUGGUUAUUAACCAGAGACGUGUCUCGGUCAUGUCUACAUUGUUCUCGAACCCGUAGGGUCCGCACGCUUAAGGUAACGAUGACAGUAAUAUUAUGAGUUUAUGCAUUUUGAUGUACCGAAGGUUGUUCGGAGUCCCGGAUGUGAUCACGGACAUGACGAGGAGUCUCAAAAUGGUCGAGACGUAAAGAUUGAUAUAUUGGAAGCCUAUGUUUGGACAUCGGAAGUGUUCCGGGUGAAAUCGGGAUUUUACCGGGUUACCGGGAGGGUUACCGGAACCCCCCGGGAGCCAUAUGGGCCUUCAUGGGCCUUAGUGGAAAGGAGAAAGGGGCAGCCCAAGGUGGCUGCGCCUCUUCCCCCUCCCCUAGUCCUAUUAGGACUAGGAGAAGGUGGCCGGCCCCCCCUCUCUCCCUUCCCCUCCGAGGAAUCCUAGUUGGACUAGGAUUGGGGGGAGGAAUCCUACUCCCAGAGGGAGUAGGACUCUCCUGCGCCUCCCUCUAUGGCCGGCCAGCCUCCCCCCCUCUACUCCUUUAUAUACGGAGGCAGGGGCACCUCUAAACACACAAGUUGACACAAGUUGAUCCACGUGAUCGAUUCCUUAGCCGUGUGCGGUGCCCCCUGCCACCAUAUUCCUCGAUAAUACUGUAGUGGAGUUUAGGCGAAGCCCUGCUGCUGUAGUUCAUCAAGAUCGUCACCACGCCGUCGUGCUGACGGAACUCUUCCCCGACACUUUGCUGGAUCGGAGUCCGGGGAUCGUCAUCGAGCUGAACGUGUGCUCGAACUCGGAGGUGCCGUAGUUUCGGUGCUUGAUCGGUUGGAUCGUGAAGACGUACAACUACUUCCUCCACGUCGUGUCAUCGCUUCCGCAGUCGGUCUGCGUAGGGUACGUAGACAAUACUCUUCCCCUCGUUGCUAUGCAUCAGAUGAUCCUGCGUGUGCGUAGGAAAAAUUUUUAAAUUACUACGAAACCCAACAGUGGUAUCAGAGCCUAGGUUAUUGAUGUUGAUGUUAUAUGCACGAGUAGAACACAAGUAAGUUGUGGACGAUACAAGUCAUACUGCCUACCAGCAUGUCAUACUUUGGUUCGGCGGUAUUGUUGGACGAGACGACCCGGACCAACCUUACGCGUACGCUUAUGCGAGACCGGUUCCCUCGACGUGCUUUGCACAGAGAUGGCUUGCGGGCGACUGCCUCUCCAACUUUAGUUGAACCAAGUAUGGCUACGCCCGGUCCUUGCGAAGGUUAAAACGGAGUCUAUUUGACAAACUAUCGUUGUGGUUUUGAUGCGUAGGUGAGAUUGGUUCUUACUUAAGCCCGUAGCAGCCACGUAAAACAAGCAACAACAAAGUAGAGGACGUCUAACUUGUUUUUGCAGGGCAUGUUGUGAUGUGAUAUGGUCAAAGCAUGAUGCUGAAUUUUAUUGUAUGAGAUGAUCAUGUUUUGUAACCGAGUUAUCGGCAACUGGCAGGAGCCAUAUGGUUGUCGCUUUAUUGUAUGCAAUGCAAUCGCGAUGUAAUGCUUUACUUUAUUACUAAACGGUAGUGAUAGUCGUGGAAGCAUAAGAUUGGCGAGACGACAACGAUGCUACGAUGGAGAUCAAGGUGUCGCGCCGGUGACGAUGGUGAUCAUGACGGUGCUUCGGAGAUGGAGAUCACAAGCACAAGAUGAUGAUGACCAUAUCAUAUCACUUAUAAUGAUUGCAUGUGAUGUUUAUCUUUUUAUGCAUCUUAUCUUGUUUUGAUUGACGGUAGCAUUAUAAGAUGAUCUCUCACUAAAUUAUCAAGAAGUGUUCUCCCUGAGUAUGCACCGUUGCGAAAGUUCUUCGUGCUGAGACACCACGUGAUGAUCGGGUGUGAUAGGCUCUACGUUCAAAUACAACGGGUGCAAAACAGUUGCGCACGCAGAAUACUCAGGUUAAACUUGACGAGCCUAGCAUAUGCAGAUAUGGCCUCGGAACACGGAGACCGAAAGGUCGAGCGUGAAUCAUAUAGUAGAUAUGAUCAACAUACUGAUGUUCACCGAUGAAACUACUCCAUCUCACGUGAUGAUCGGACAUGGUUUAGUUGAUUUGGAUCACGUGAUCACUUAGAGGAUUAGAGGGAUGUCUAUCUAAGUGGGAGUUCUUUAGUAAUAUGAUUAAUUGAACUUAAAAUUUAUCAUGAACUUAGUCCCUUAAAGUAUCUUGCUUGUUUAUGUUGAUUGUAGAUAGAUGGCUCGUGCUGUUGUUCCGUUGAAUUUUAAUGCGUUCCUUGAGAAAGCAAAGUUGAAAGAUGAUGGUAGCAAUUACACGGACUGGGUCCGUAACUUGAGGAUUAUCCUCAUUGCUGCACAGAAGAAUUACGUCCUGGAAGCACCGCUGGGUGCCAGGCCUGCUGCUGGAGCAACACCAGAUGUUAUGAACGUCUGGCAGAGCAAAGCUGAUGACUACUCGAUAGUUCAGUGUGCCAUGCUUUACGGCUUAGAAUCGGGACUUCAACAACGUUUUGAACGUCAUGGAGCAUAUGAGAUGUUCCAGGAGUUGAAGUUAAUAUUUCAAGCAAAUGCCCGGAUUGAGAGAUAUGAAGUCUCCAAUAAGUUCUAUAGCUGCAAGAUGGAGGAGAACAGUUCUGUCAGUGAGCAUAUACUCAAAAUGUCUGGGUAUAAUAAUCACUUGAUUCAAUUGGGAGUUAAUCUUCCGGAUGAUUGCGUCAUCGACAGAAUUCUCCAAUCACUGCCACCAAGCUACAAGAGCUUCGUGAUGAACUAUAAUAUGCAAGGGAUGAACAAGACUAUUCCCGAGCUCUUCGCAAUGCUGAAAGUUGCGGAGGUAGAAAUCAAAAAGGAGCAUCAAGUGUUGAUGGUUAACAAAACCACUAGUUUCAAGAAAAAGGGCAAAGGAAAGAAGAAAGGGAACUUCAAGAAGAACAGCAAGCCAGUUGCUGCUCAAGAUAAGAAACCCAAGUCUGGACCUAAGCCUGAAACUGAGUGCUUCUACUGCAAGCAGACUGGUCACUGGAAGCGGAACUGCCCCAAGUAUUUGGCGGAUAAGAAGGAUGGCAAGGUGAACAAAGGUAUAUGUGAUAUACAUUGAUGUGUACCUUACUAGAGCUCGCAGUAGCACCUGGGUAUUUGAUACUGGUUCUGUUGCUAAUAUUUGCAACUCGAAACAGGGACUACAGAAUAAGCGGGCACUGGCAAAGGACGAGGUGACGAUGCGCGUGGGAAACGGUUCCAAAGUCGAUGUGAUCGCGGUCGGCACGCUACCUCUACAUCUACCUUCGGGAUUAAUAUUAGACCUAAAUAAUUGUUAUUUGGUGCCAGCGUUGAGCAUGAACAUUAUAUCUGGAUCUUGUUUAAUGCGAGACGGUUAUUCAUUUAAAUCAGAGAAUAAUGGUUGUUCUAUUUAUAUGAGUAAUAUCUUUUAUGGUCAUGCACCCUUGAAGAGUGGUCUAUUCUUACUGAAUCUCGAUAGUAGUAAUACACAUAUUCAUAAUGUUGAAACCAAAAGAUGCAGAGUUGAUAAUGAAAGUGCAACUUAUUUGUGGCACUGUCGUUUAGGUCAUAUCGGUGUAAAACGCAUGAAGAAACUCCAUACUAAUGGACUUUUGGAACUACUUGAUUAUGAAUCACUUGGUACUUGCGAACCGUGCCUCAUGGGCAAGAUGACUAAAACACCGUUCUCCGGUACUAUGGAGAGAGCAACAGAUUUGUUGGAAAUCAUACAUACCGAUGUAUGUGGUCCAAUGAAUAUUGAGGCUCGUGGCGGAUAUCGUUAUUUUCUCACCUUCACAGAUGAUUUGAGCAGAUAUGGAUAUAUCUACUUAAUGAAGCAUAAGUCUGAAACAUUUGAAAAGUUCAAAGAAUUUUAGAGUGAAGUUGAAAAUCAUCGUAACAAGAAAAUAAAGUUUCUACGAUCUGAUCGUGGAGGAGAAUAUUUGAGUUACGAGUUUGGUGUACAUUUGAAAAACUGUGGAAUAGUUUCACAACUCACGCCACCCGGAACACCACAGCGCAAUGGUGUGUCCGAACGUCGUAAUCGUACUUUACUAGAUAUGGUGCGAUCUAUGAUGUCUCUUACAGAUUUACCGCUAUCAUUUUGGGGUUAUGCUUUAGAGACGGCCGCAUUCACGUUAAAUAGGGCACCAUCAAAAUCCGUUGAGACGAUGCCUUAUGAACUAUGGUUUGGCAAGAAACCAAAGUUGUCGUUUCUUAAAGUUUGGGGCUGCGAUGCUUAUGUGAAAAAGCUUCAACCUGAUAAGCUCGAACCCAAAUCGGAGAAAUGUGUAUUCAUAGGAUACCCAAAGGAAACUGUUGGGUACACCUUCUAUCACAGAUCCGAAGGCAAAACAUUCGUUGCUAAGAAUGGAUCAUUUCUGGAGAAUGAGUUUCUCUUGAAAGAAGUGAGUGGGAGGAAAGUAGAACUUGACGAGGUAACUGUACCUGCUCCCUUACUGGAGAGUAGUUCAUCACAAAAAACUGUUUCAGUGACACCUACACCGGUUAGUGAGGAAGCCAAUGAUAAUGAUCAUGAAACUUCAGAUCAAGAUACUACUGAACCACGUAGAUCAACCAGAGUAAGAUCCGCGCCAGAGUGGUACGGAAAUCCUGUUCUGGAAGUCAUGCUACUAGAUCAUGAUGAACCUACGAACUAUGAAGAAGCGAUGGUGAGCCCAGAUUCCGCAAAAUGGCUUGAAGCCAUGAAAUCUGAGAUGGAAUCCAUGUAUGAGAACAAAGUAUGGACUUUGGUUGACUUGCCCGAUGAUCGGCAAGCAAUUGAGAAUAAAUGGAUCUUUAAAAAGAAGACUGACGCUGAUGGUAAUGUUACUGUCUACAAAGCUCGACUUGUCGCAAAAGGUUUUCGACAAGUUCAAGGGAUUGACUACGAUGAGACCUUCUCACCCGUAGCGAUGCUUAAGUCCGUCCGAAUCAUGUUAGCGAUUGCCGCAUUUUAUGAUUAUGAAAUUUGGAAGAUGGAUGUCAAAACUGCAUUCCUGAAUGGAUUUCUGGAAGAAGAGUUGUAUAUGAUGCAACCAGAAGGUUUUAUCGAUCCAAAGGGAGCUAACAAAGUGUGCAAGCUCCAGCGAUCCAUUUAUGGACUGGUGCAAGCCUCUCGGAGUUGGAAUAAACGUUUUGAUAGUGUGAUCAAAGCAUUUGGUUUUAUACAGACUUUCGGAGAAGCCUGUAUUUACAAGAAAGUGAGUGGGAGCUCUGUAGCAUUUCUGAUAUUAUAUGUGGAUGACAUAUUACUGAUUGGAAAUGAUAUAGAAUUUCUGGAUAGCAUAAAGGGAUACUUGAAUAAAAGUUUUUCAAUGAAAGACCUCGGAGAAGCUGCUUACAUAUUAGGCAUUAAGAUCUAUAGAGAUAGAUCAAGACGCUUAAUUGGACUUUCACAAAACACAUACCUUGACAAAAUUUUGAAGAAAUUCAAAAUGGAUCAAGCGAAGAAAGGGUUCUUGCCUGUGUUACAAGGUGUGAAAUUGAGUAAGACUCAAUGCCCGACCACUGCAGAAGAUAGAGAGAAUAUGAAAGAUGUUCCCUAUGCAUCUGCCAUAGGCUCUAUCAUGUAUGCAAUGCUGUGUACCAGACCUGAUGUGUGCCUUGCUAUAAGUUUAGCAGGGAGGUACCAAAGUAAUCCAGGAGUGGAUCACUGGACAGCGGUCAAGAACAUCCUGAAAUACCUGAAAAGGACUAAGGAUAUGUUUCUCGUAUAUGGAGGUGACAAAGAGCUCACCGUAAAAGGUUACGUUGAUGCAAGCUUUGACACUGAUCCGGACGAUUCUAAAUCGCAAACCGGAUACGUGUUUACAUUAAACGGUGGAGCUGUCAGUUGGUGCAGUUCUAAACAAAGCGUUGUAGCGGGAUCUACAUGUGAAGCGGAAUACAUAGCUGCUUCGGAAGCAGCAAAUGAAGGAGUCUGGAUGAAGGAGUUCAUAUCCGAUCUAGGUGUCAUACCUAGUGCAUCAGGUCCAAUGAAAAUCUUUUGUGACAAUACUGGUGCAAUUGCCUUAGCAAAGGAAUCCAGAUUUCACAAAAGGACCAAACACAUCAAGAGACGCUUCAACUCCAUCCGGGAUCUAGUCCAGGUGGGAGACAUAGAGAUUUGCAAGAUACAUACGGAUCUGAAUGUUGCAGACCCGUUGACUAAGCCUCUUCCACGAGCAAAACAUGAUCAGCACCAAGGCUCCAUGGGUGUUAGAAUCAUUACAGUGUAAUCUAGAUUAUUGACUCUAGUGCAAGUGGGAGACUGAAGGAAAUAUGCCCUAGAGGCAAUAAUAAAGUUAUUAUUUAUUUCCUUAUAAUCAUGAUAAAUGUUUAUUAUUCAUGCUAGAAUUGUAUUUACCGGAAACAUAAUACAUGUGUGAAUACAUAGACAAACAGAGUGUCACUAGUAUGCCUCUACUUGACUAGCUCGUUAAUCAAAGAUGGUUAUGUUUCCUAACCAUGAACAAUAAGUUGUUAUUUGAUUAACGAGGUAACAUCAUUAGUAGAAUGAUCUGAUUGACAUGACCCAUUCCAUUAGCUUAGCACCCGAUCGUUUAGUAUGUUGCUAUUGCUUUCUUCAUGACUUAUACAUGUUCCUAUGACUAUGAGAUUAUGCAACUCCCGUUUACCGGAGGAACACUUUGGGUACUACCAAACGUCACAACAUAACUGGGUGAUUAUAAAGGAGUACUACAGGUGUCUCCAAUGGUCGAUGUUGGGUUGGCGUAUUUCGAGAUUAGGAUUUGUCACUCCGAUUGUUGGAGAGGUAUCUCUGGGCCCUCUCGGUAAUACACAUCACAUAAGCCUUGCAAGCAUUACAACUAAUAUGUUAGUUGUGAGAUGAUGUAUUACGGAACGAGUAAAGAGACUUGCCGGUAACGAGAUUGAACUAGGUAUUGGAUACCGACGAUCGAAUCUCGGGCAAGUAACAUACCGAUGACAAAGGGAACAACGUAUGUUGUUAUGCGGUCUGACCGAUAAAGAUCUUCGUAGAAUAUGUAGGAGCCAAUAUGGGCAUCCAGGUCCCGCUAUUGGUUAUUGACCAGAGACGUGUCUCGGUCAUGUCUACAUUGUUCUCGAACCCGUAGGGUCCGCACGCUUAAGGUAACGAUGACAGUAAUAUUAUGAGUUUAUGCAUUUUGAUGUACCGAAGGUUGUUCGGAGUCCCGGAUGUGAUCACGGACAUGACGAGGAGUCUCAAAAUGGUCGAGACGUAAAGAUUGAUAUAUUGGAAGCCUAUGUUUGGACAUCGGAAGUGUUCCGGGUGAAAUCGGGAUUUUACCGGGUUACCGGGAGGGUUACCGGAACCCCCCGGGAGCCAUAUGGGCCUUCAUGGGCCUUAGUGGAAAGGAGAAAGGGGCAGCCCAAGGUGGCUGCGCCUCUUCCCCCUCCCCUAGUCCUAUUAGGACUAGGAGAAGGUGGCCGGCCCCCCUCUCUCCCUUCCCCUCCGAGGAAUCCUAGUUGGACUAGGAUUUGGGGGAGGAAUCCUACUCCCAGAGGGAGUAGGACUCUCCUGCGCCUCCCUCUAUGGCCGGCCAGCCUCCCCCCCUCUACUCCUUUAUAUACGGAGGCAGGGGCACCUCUAAACACACAAGUUGACACAAGUUGAUCCACGUGAUCGAUUCCUUAGCCGUGUGCGGUGCCCCCUGCCACCAUAUUCCUCGAUAAUACUGUAGCGGAGUUUAGGCGAAGCCCUGCUGCUGUAGUUCAUCAAGAUCGUCACCACGCCGUCGUGCUGACGGAACUCUUCCCCGACACUUUGCUGGAUCGGAGUCCGGGGAUCGUCAUCGAGCUGAACGUGUGCUCGAACUCGGAGGUGCCGUAGUUUCGGUGCUUGAUCGGUUGGAUCGUGAAGACGUACGACUACUUCCUCCACGUCGUGUCAUCGCUUCCGCAGUCGGUCUGCGUAGGGUACGUAGACAAUACUCUUCCCCUCGUUGCUAUGCAUCACAUGAUCCUGCGUGUGCGUAGGAAAAUUUUUGAAAUUACUACGAAACCCAACAUACGCCUACCUCAAGAUGAAGAUGCCGAGUUCCAAGGGAAUUCUGACCGUGGCCGGCGACUACAGAAAGUCGUCCGCUUGCGCGGCCGAAAGCAGUCGGCUGGCCGAGUCCUUGGUGAUCGCGGCUGAGAAGUGGCUUCUCGAUCGGGUUGUGGCGAUGGCCGGCAAGCAGCCCGAGAUGUCGCCCAACCCCAAGGAGUCGGAAGCAGAAGGAUCAUUCAAGCCGGCCAGAGAAACGAAGAAGAUACCUUUGGACCCGGAGCACCCAGAGAGGUACGUUGUCAUGGGCACAAACCUUGACAGCAAAUAGGAAGGCGAGCCCGUCGAUUUCCUUCGUGAGAAUCGAGACAUCUUCGCAUGGUCCCCUAAGGACAUGCCUGGUGUACCGACGGAAUUCGCCGAGCACAAGUUACAUGUCCGGUCUGAUAUGAAGCCCGUCAAGCAGCCCUUGCACCGCCUAUUAGAAGAAAAGAGAAGAGUUGUUGGAGAAGAAAUAGCCCGGCUCCUGGCAGCCGGCUUCAUUGUGGAAGUGUUUUUCCCAGAGUGGCUAGCGAACCCAGUACUGGUGCUGAAGAAGAACAAGCAGUGGCGGAUGUGUAUCGACUACACAAGCCUCAAUAAAGCUUGUCCCAGGGACCCAUUUGCUCUACCAAGAAUUGAUCAGGUGAUAGACUCCACAGCCGGAUGCGAGCUGUUGAGUUUUUUGGAUGCAUAUUCUGGAUAUCACCAGAUCAAGCUGAACCCGGCUGACCGACUGAAGACUGCCUUCAUCACACCGUUUGGUGCCUUCUGCUACCUGACCAUGACGUUCGUCUUGAGAAAUGCCGGCGCCACCUUUCAGCGUUGCAUGCAGAAGUGCCUCCUCAAGCAACUCGGCAGAAAUGCCCACGUCUACGUGGAUGACGUGGUGGUGAAGACGGAAAAACGUGGAACUCUGUUGGAAGACCUCAAGGAAACCUUUGAGAACCUGCGCCGAUUCCAGAUCAAGCUUAACCCCGAGAAGUGCGUCUUCGGAGUACCAGCCGGCCAACUCCUUGGUUUUCUAGUCUCUGAACGCGGCAUAGAGUGCAAUCCUGUGAAGAUCAAGGCCAUCGAGAGGAUGGAAGCACCCAGACGACUGUUAGAUGUGCAGAAGUUCACCGGUUGUUUGUCGUCCAUCAGCCGAUUCAUCAGUCGGCUGGGCAAGAAGGCUCUCCCCUUGUAUAAGCUCAUGAAGAAGAUAGCCUUUUUUGAAUGGACUCCCAAGGCAGACGAGGCCUUUCUCCAACUAAAGAAGAUGUUGACUACUCCCCCUGUGCUGGCGGCUCCGACUCCCAAAGAGCCCAUGCUCCUAUACAUUGCUGCCACUAGCCGGGUAGUCAGCACAGUCAUUGUAGUCGAGCGCAAGGAGGAAGGCAAGGCGCUACCUGUCCAGAGACCGGUAUAUUACCUGAGCGAGGUAUUGUCGGCCUCCAAGCAGAACUACCCCCACUACCAGAAGAUGUGCUACGGCGUGCAUUUUGCUGCCAAGAAAAUUGAAGCCUUACUUCCAGGAGCAUCCAAUCACUGUGGUUUGCACAGCCCCACUAGCCGAGAUCAUCGGAAGCCGAGAUGCUUCUGGCCGAGUGGCCAAAUGGGCCAUCGACUUGACUCCCUACACCAUCUACUAUGAGCCCCGCACCGCCAUCAAGUCGCAAGCACUGGCCGACUUCCUCGUCGAUUGGGCUGAGACCCAGUAUCUGCCACCAGCGCCCGACUCCACCCAUUGGCAAAUGCACUUCGAUGGCUUCAAGAUGCGCACCGGCCUGGGAAUCGGCGUCGUCCUCACUUCCCCCAAGGGUGACAAGCUCAGAUAUGCGUUGCAGAUCCAUUUCGCCGCCUCCAACAACGUGGCCGAGUAUGAGGCGCUCAUCCACGGGCUCCGGCUUGCCAAAGAACUCGGCAUUCGCCGGAUCCUGUGUUAUGGCGACUCUGACUUGGUGGUCCAGCAAUCAUCUGGCGAUUGGGAUGCCAAGGACGCAAACAUGGCGAGCUACCGCUUCCUUGUGCAGCAACUCAGCGGAUACUUCGAGGGGUGCGAGUUCCUCCACGUGCCAAGGAAUGACAACGACCAAGCACACGCCUUGGCACGAAUCGGCUCCACCCGCCAAGCAAUACCAUCCGGCAUCGCCCUUCGGCGCCUCCUCAAGCCGUCUAUCAAGCCGUCACCAGAAUCAGACUCAAUCUUUGUGUUGGCUUCACCCGAAGAAGUCGAAUCCGACUCCAAAAAAGCCACAGUCAAAGCCGGCCCGGGGACUGCGGUGACAAGACCAAAGACUCCAGAACUCGGGCCAGGGACUGCUCCAGCUGGCCCGGGGACUUCAUCAAGUCAGCAAGCGGCUGCGGACUCCAACCCGCCGCCUCCCAGCCCAGCCGCCCUUGUCCAAGUCGCACUAGUGGCAGUUGAAGAAAUAGCAGCACCCUCAUGGGCCCAGCCCAUCCUCAAGUUCCUAGUAAACAGAGAGCUGCCAACUGACGAAAUCUUGGCUCGGCAAGUGCAACGCCGAGCAGCAGCUUAUACCAUAGUCAACAGAGAGCUGGUCAGGCGCAGUGUCACUGGCGUCUACCAACGCUGCGUCGAGGCAGAACAAGGCCAAGCAAUUCUCAGAGACGUCCAUGAAGGCGAGUGCGGUCACCAUGCGGCCUCAAGAGCACUCGUCGCCAAAGCCUUCCGGCAUGGUUUUUUCUGGCCGACUGCCCUAGAAGAGGCCAAGGAAUUAGUCCAAAAGUGCAAGGGGUGCCAGAUGUUCCGUUCCAAGCCACUUCAGCCAGCUUCCGCACUCAAGACUAUCCCCAUCGUCUGGCCCUUUGCAGUCUGGGGCUUGGACAUGGUGGGACCAUUCAAGACGGCACAAGGUGGCUUGACUCAUCUACUUGUCGCAGUGGACAAGUUCAACAAGUGGAUAGAAGUGAAACCCAUCAAGAAGUUGAAUGGUCCGACUGAAGUAACUUUCAUCGUCGACAUCACGACUCGGUACGGCAUCCCGCACAGCAUCAUCAUCGACAACGGCACAAAUUUUGCCAAAGGCGCCUUGGCCCGUUUCUGCGCGACGCAGGGCAUCCGACUGGACUUAGCAUCCGUUGCCCAUCUGCAGUCAAACGGCCAGGUGGAGCAGGCAAACGGCCUCAUCUUAUCUGGCAUCAAGCCUCGACUAGUCGAGCCGUUGGAGCGAUCGGCCGGGUGCUGGCUUGAGGAGCUGUCGGCCGUCCUCUAGAGUCUGCGCACGACUCCAAACAAGUCAACCGGCUUCACACCCUUCUUCCUCGUUUACGGGGCCGAAGCCGUCAUCCCGACGGACAUAGAGUUCGACUCCCCGCGAGUCACUAUGUACACCGAGGAAGAAGCAGAAGAAGCACGUCAAGACGGCGUCGAUCUGCUGGAAGAGGGCCGGCUGUUGGCACUCAGCCGGUCCAGCAUCUACCAGCAGAGUCUGUGUCGAUACUAUAACAGGAAGGUCAGGCCAAGAUCUUUCCAAGAGGGCGGCCUUGUGCUCUGAUCCAGCGAACAGCCGGCCAGCACAAGCUGUCGGCGCCUUGGGAAGGCCCCUUCAUCAUCAGUAAGGUGCUGGGAAACGACUCCUACUACCUGAUCGACGCUCAGAAGCCCCGAGCGCGCAAGAGGGACAACUCUGGCAAAGAGACAGAGCGCCCGUGGAAUGCAAAUCUUCUCCGAAGAUUUUACAGUUGAUGCAGUAUGUAUCACGCUACCCUUUUGUAUUAAAGUACCAAGACUUUGGGCCCCCCGAGACAAGCUCGGGGACUGCCCUUUUUGUUAUCUGUAUGAUAAGAAUUAUGCCUUCGAGUAUAUUACUCUUUGUUAAUGCCGCUUGGCACCGGGCCCGACUAGUCGGCCCGGGGACUCGCCGCCUCGCGCUAUGAGAAGCUUCCCGCAGUCAGACAAGUAGUGUGCGGUGCCUAAUCCGUCUCCUGACAAAGUCGUAGCUCGCAGAGCGACUGUUUGGUGGGCAUGAGUGAGGAAGAAUGGGCGCCCACGCGAAAAAUGGCUAAGGACCCAAAGCACGAACAUAGCGUAAGACGGCCUCCAGCAUCUCUGAAGCAAAAGCCGAUUCAUGAGUAGUCGGCUCGCCGCUUUAUACUAGCCUCUAUUAAAGACAGUCGACUCUUUAGUAGUCGGCUCGCCGCCUUCUAUCCAACUUGUUAAAGAAGACUCUAAGAUGGUCGAGUACCUGCCUUCCCAAAGUAGCCAAGCAUUUGAUCCAGCGACAGUCCGCAGAGCGGUUGUCCGACUGGCAAAGCAGCGACUAAAGGAAGGCGGCAAAGGGAAAAGCCUAAAGAGCAAUGAGCAAGGAAAGAUAGAACUCGGAAUCGAUAUUUACAUAGCAUAGGCCCUUGGCCGAAUCUUCGAACAGAAGUUCAAAUUACACCCCGCGGGUGGAAUUGUGCAAAUUAACAAGUUCUUUAAAGACUUUCUAGAGCAGACAAAAUAAAGCCAGAAGGCAGCCUAGAGAGCAGCAGACGGGUUCGGAGGGUCGGAGGAGACGGCGGUGUCAGGCGCCGGGGCGGCCGGCUGGGCAGUCUCGGCUUGAUAGCCACCGGCGGCAGCCGGCCCGGUCGGACGCGGCUCGUUGCUGGAGGCACGGUCGAGCUGAGGCUGGUCGCCCGCUCCGACUUCUGGCAUCUCCGUCUCGCCUUCAUCCUCCGCCUGCCUUCCUCCUCGGUGCUGGAGUCAAUCACCUCCGCCGAGUCCUCGCCGAAGUCCGGGUUCAUCCCGAACCACUCUGGCGGCACCUCCUCGCCGCCUGCAGCCCGCUCGGGGACGAAGACACUGGUGUCCGUGUAGUUGGCAAUCGCCGCCGCACGCUCGACAAGGGCACCCUCCACCGCCACCAGUUCUGCCUGGGCCUCUGAUCGGAACGCGGCCAACCGGUCCAGGUCCAGCCCUGGAUACCACGGCUUGACGAAUUCCAAGGCCCGGCACGCUUCGGCCUGGGCCGAGGAACCCUUCCAAGCUUCAAGACGGCCAGCUGCGACCUCCAGCCAGUCGGUGGUCCGACUGGCGGUGCGCGGGGCCGGCAUGUCUGGCCACAGAGCGGCAACCGCCUGGGCGCCGGCACGCUGAAGCCGGCGCAUCAGCCAAUGGGCCGGACAAAGACGGGCCUCAAUGCUCAGAAGCUGCUCGUCGUCCGGGGGGCGUUAGCGGCAAUCUCCGCGCCGCUUGCCCUCCGCACCUCGCGAUCAGCCUCGAUGGCCUGAGUGACUGCCUGCGAGUGGCCACGGAAGAAGUCUUCCAAGACAAAAAAGAAGUGAGUCAAAAAAAUCAGAAAUCGGCCCGACGUAUAGUCGGAAGCUCGAAGAAAGAAAGGAAGGAAACUCACCGUCGACGCUGUCCUCUAUCUCAUGGAAGCCGGAGGUCAGCAUCGCAUCCCUGUCAGUCCAGGAGGAGCGCUCGCUCUCGAACUCAGCCAGGAGAGCGGCCUCCUUCUUCUCGGCCUCGUCCUGCGCCUUCUUGAGCAGCUCCUUCUGCUCGACCAGCUGCGCAGCCAGCAGGUCGCGCUCUGCGGCAAGUUUGAUGCACUCUUCCUCCUUGGCGCACAAGGUGGUGUUGGCCUCGCCCAGCUGCUGCUGAAGAGUGGCGUUGGCCUCUGAAGAAGAAAAAAGAGGAAAGACGAUAAGUCAUCAACAAAGAAAGUCGCUGAGAAGAUCCGGCCCGACUGCUCAGCAGUCAGCCCGAAUCUCGGGGACUACAGCCCGGGUGCGCCAGCGCGCCCCCGCGAAAAAGAAGAAGGACUCACUCUGGCUCUCCGACAAGUCGACAGUCCGCCUGCCUAGGUCCUCAACAUUGCGGUUGAAGGCGGUAGCGCGGAGGUUGUGAUACUCCUGCAAUAAGCGUUUCAGACAAAGUUAAAUAUUUGGAACUCGCAGGGGGAGUUCCGAACCGCCUGCUCAGCAGCCGGCCUGAAACUCGGGGACUACACCCAGUGAGUGCGCUGGCGCGCCCCCACAGAGAAGAACAAGAAAAACAAGAAUCAAAAAGAAGAAGGCAUACUCGGACGGCUGUUCGCGCUGCCAGAUGCGCCCUAGUGCAGUUUUAAAGGGCGUCGCCUUCAGCUCGCAACUUCGCCUGGACGUCCAGAAGCGCUUGGUUCAGCGGCCCUGUGCCGCCUCCGCGCGACCACCCAACGGGCGCGGCGCUCGUCGCCUCGGCGUCUGGGAUUGCCGAGCUGGCGGCACCGGUCUCCUGGGGUCGCGGCGCCGAGGUCGCCCUCUCAAGACGGCGGCACACUGGCGAGGCGACUUGGAGAAGUAGCCUCACCUCGGACUCGUCCGCAAUCGACGGCACCGGCGGGCCCGCCAGCUAUUCUCCAUGCGCGCCCCCAGACGGCGGCGGCGGCGGCGGUGGCGUCACGAGCGUGUCCGACAUGGAGGCCUCGCCGCUUUCCUUCCCCACAACGGGGUUCUCGAUGCCGGCUUCCCCAGUCUGCCCCGUGAACUCCGGGGGCGGCGGCGCGGAGGACAGUGGGGUGACGAACAACGCCGACUGGCGGUGCGCGGCCUCCUCGGCUUGCUGCCUUGCUACGGCGGCGGCUUCGGCCUCUUCCAGUUUUUUCUGGGCGGAGGCCGCCGCCUUCUCGGCCUCCGCUUUCUCCAAGCGGUCGGCCUCCUCCUCGUAGCGCUUCUCCCGCGCGUUUUGCUCCAUCGCCUCCCGAAGGUCGGUGGCAGGGUCAACCCGCCGAGUGUUGGCUGACGUCUCCGCCGACCCCAUGACGGAGGGGACGACGACCCUCUCAAGGGUGAGGGGAGCCCUAAAGCGAAAAAGGAAUGAAAGAGAGAAACUCGGACGAGAUUCACCGAAGGAAAAUAAGGACAAAGGAGGAAACACUUACGCAGAGACUAGCGGCGGCCUCUUCACUUCCUUGCGGAAGAGGUUGGCCCUCGCGGCCGCUCCUCCCAUUUGGUCGCGGCGGCCGCCCCCUUGAGCUUCUUCAGCUUGCCGCCAAAUGAACUCGGCCCAGUCUGGCGCCUCUUCAAGCCGCCUUGGCCGGCCAGGCCGGCGGAGGAACCCAUGCCCGAUGGGCCGACCCUUGGCUGGUGGCGCGGGACGACUUCCCCUUCAGCGUCGUCUUCAGGCCAGUCGGCGAAGGUGGCCGAGGGCCUGAGGCCGCCUUCCGCUCCUCCUCCCCCGCCUUCAGCGUCGGCUUCCAUCGCCGCCGCCCCCAAGUCGGGGUCGUCAACGUUGCUCUCCGCUCGGUCGGGGACGAACUCGCGGGGCGGUCUCGUGACGCCGGCUGCGGGCUGAAUGAGGGGGUUCUAAUUCAGAGAAACCAACGAAAAUUAGAAGUCGGAGUCGGCUAUGAAGAAGGCAAAGGAAUAAAGAGAUGCGACUUACCACUAGAGGGGGGUUGGCGCACGAGUACGGCUCCUUGCCGAACUGCCAGUCCUCCCGAGCUCAUAGUUUGCGAUGUGGUUCACCAUGUUUGCCACCUCUGCGCAGGGCAUUUCCCUGGUGCACAUCUGACUCGGGUCCCGGUGGUCGCUCAUCUGACUGAUCAGAUGAGGCGGCCUUGAAGAGGGAGGACUCGGCGCACCACAAAGGCGGCCAGCAAGUCGGCCCCAACGAGGCCCUCCAACUGCGUCAGAACUCGGAGCCGCGCCACGGCAGCGGCUCCGGUGGGAGUCAGCGUCUUGGCUCGAUGAGACCAGCUAGGGAGCCUCCCAGCCGGUGCACCAGCUUCAUAAGGCGGCAGAUUGACCCAGUCCCCGUCGGGGGCAACGCUCUUCACGUAGAAGUACGACCGUUGCCACAUCUUCACCGAUUUGAUUAACGAGAUGGCGGGAAACGGAUUGUCGACCGUCGACUGCUGCAUCGUGAUGAAGGCGCCGCAUUGAGCCGGCACACCGGCGAUGUGCGUGUCGAGCUUGGAUGAGAAGAAUUCUCCCCACAGCUCGAUGGUGGGGAGCACGCCGAGGAAGCCUUCGCACAGGGUGGCGAAGGCAGACAGCAGCACCACCGUGUUUGGGGUGAAGUGGUGCAGCUGAAACCCGUGGAACUCCAGGAAGGAACGGAAGAAGCCGCUCGCCGGCAGCCCCAGGCCGCGCAUGAGGUGCGAGCGGAAGAUGACCCACUCGCCCUCCUCCGGUGCCGGCAAUAUCUCCCCCUCCGGCGCGGCGCGAGCGCGCACGAGGUCUGCGCCGGGGAGGCGGCGCGUCCUGUGGAGGAACUCGAUGUGGUCAUCAUCCACCUCCGAGCCGUCCCACACGCCGGAGCGCACGGCGGGAGCCGCAGCGGCGGAGGAAGAGCUCAUCGCUGUUGGUGCGGUGUGUUUUCUGCUCGACGGCGGCAAGAGGAAGGAAAGGAGGCAAGAGGAGGCGGGGGAGCAGGGAAGAUGGGCGUGUGUGCUUUGCCGCUCCACUCCCCCCCCCCCCGCCUACUUAUAGCCUUGAGGGCUGAGAAGCCGAUGGGGCGGGUGUGGGAUUAACUGCGCGCAGGACCCGAUGCCCCCCCACGAGUUACCCCACGAAGUUACUGCGCGCAGUAACGACGUGGGAAACCCAACCGUCUGCACGGCCACAACGGAUCCGUUCGCGUGCCAAGGCAUAGUAGUGGCGGGCCCCGCCUGACGGCCCGUCCCGUCGCACGCGUGGGUAGGCAGACUAUCCUCGCUGCGCGGCACCACGCGAUAGGACCGCGGCGGGCGGCCGCGGGGAAGCGUAUCAGGCACGCCGCCUGGUCUCCCGCCACGACUUUUGAACUCUUUACGGAGCAAGACGGCCCUCUGCGAAUCCGACUUUCGGACAGUCGGCCCGAAGGAAGACGGCAAGUGAAAUCCUAGAAGAAUGAAACUGUUGAGGCCCCACAACGCGGUAUCCGCGGAGCCUCACCAGCUUCGGGGACUACUGUCGGAGUAAUGGGCCACGGGUAGGCUAACCCGAGCCCCAGAACUUUUCAAGACAUUGGGAUAAGUAGCGCCGCUUAUGACGAGUCCCAGGGACGACUCCAAGAUGUGCCGAGUCCUAGGCGACGACUCCAAGUUAUGCCGAGUCCCAGGGACGACUCCAAGAUGUGUCGAGUCCCAGGCGACGACUCCAAGUUAUGCCGAGUCCCAGGGAUGACUCCAAGAUGUGUCGAGUCCCAGGCAACGACUCCAAGUUAUGCCAAGUCCCAGGGACGACUCCAACAUGUGCCGAGUCCCAGGCGACGACUCCAAGUUAUGCCGAGUCCCAGGGACGACUCCAAGAUGUGCCGAGUCCCAGGCGGCGACUCCAAGAUAAGCCGACUCAUGAUCGGCGACUUCCAGAGAGGCCGGCUAUGGAGAGUCGGCCCGCGACUCCACCCUCAUCUCGAAGGGCAAGGCGGGGUACGGCCACGGCGUGGCCGUCCCCCCUGCUUACAAGGGGCCGGCAUGGCUACAGUAAGCCGUAUCGCAGAAGAUCUCCGGCAAGGCGCGGCACUGUUGCCAUGCCUGCCCUGACCUCAGCCAUAGUGGGCGGCGCACUGUGCCCAUGACGCCUGCCUAUACGACCCAAAGACGGCGGGGCCGCCUGUCAGUGGGUAGAUAGAAGACGGCACGAGCGCCCUGAAGACGGACCCGUGGGAGUCGGCCCCCUGGAGUCGGCCGACCCCUCCCACGGGCCCCGCGUGCCAUUAACCAGACAAGAUGGGGAAUGGCGACAGUGAACGCACGCCAGACGGCGGCGCUGUUGCCAUGACCACAUGACCAAGCCAGCGUCAUCAGGAGUACCGCUAUAGUAUCAGGCCUGUCCGCGGGGCCCGCCAGUCGGCGGGCCCCAAUAGUCGGCAGAGAGGACGAUGGACUGAGAGACAGACGGCUGGGCCCCGCGCCCAGCCAGAUUACCAUUGUACCCCUAGGGGGUAGGCCUAUAUAAACCCCCCGGGAAGCCCAUGCAAAUGGUUCGGACCCAGAUAGAGAUAGACCUUAGAGCAUAGGAAGGAGAGAGCUAGCCUUGCCCUCUCCCACCUCCAGAAACAGCUCCAGGAGCACCAUUGUAACCACUUUGCCAUAGUGACCAUGCGGAGACCCCGCAAAGCAGCAGUAGGGGUGUUAUCUCCUCGGAGAGCCCUGAAGCUGGGUAAGUUCUGUCGGCGUGCAUGUCUUCGCCUCAUCCCGCUUCCGGGCACCAGCGACGUUCUACUCGCUCCCACCAUGAUAAGCCAUCCUUUGGCAUAUGCCGUACCCAACCCCCGACAGAUCCCGUGAUUGAACUCAAACCAUUACUUGAUAAUCUUAAGUAUGCUUAUCUUGAUGAAAAGAAAAUAUUUCCUGUUAUUAUUAGUUCUAACCUUUCAGAGCAAGAAGAAGAAAGAUUAUUGAAAACUCUGAAGAAGCAUCGUGCUGCUAUUGGAUAUACUCUGGAUGAUCUUAAGGGCAUUAGUCCCACACUAUGCCAACACAAAAUUAAUUUGGAGGACGAUGCCAAACCAGUUAGAGAUCCUCAAUGAUGAUUGAAUCCUAAGAUGAAAGAACUGGUAAGAAAGGAGAUACUAAAGCUCCUUGAGGCAGGUAUAAUUUAUCCCGUUGUUGAUAGUGGUUGGGUAAGUCUUGUCCAUUGUGUUCCUAAAAAGGGAGGUAUUACUGUCGUUCCUAAUGAUAAAGAUGAAUUGAUCCCGCAAAGAAUUAUUACAGGUUAUAGGAUGGUAAUUGAUUUUCGUAAAAUAAAUAAAGCUACUAAGAAAGAUCAUUACCAAUUACCUUUUAUCGAUCAAAUGCUAGAAAGACUAUCCAAACACACAUAUUUCUGCUUUCUAGAUGGUUAUUUUGGGUUCUCUCAAAUACCUGUGUCAGCGAAGGAUCAAUCAAAAACUACUUUUACUUGCCCUUUCGUUACUUUUGCUUAUAGACGUAUGCCUUUUGGUUUAUGUAAUGCACCUGCUACAUUUCAAAGAUGCAUGAUGUCUAUAUUCUCUGAGUUUUGUGAAAAGAUUUGUGAGGUAUUCAUGGAUGACUUAUCUGUUUAUGGAUCCUCUUUUGAUGAUUGCUUGAGCAAUCUUGAUCGAGUUUUGCAGAGAUGUGAAGACACUAGUCUCGUGUUGAAUUGGGAAAAGUGUCACUUUAUGGUUAAUGAAGGCAUUAUAAGAUUUCCGAGAGAGGUACUGAAGUUGAUAAAGCUAAAGUUGAUGCUAUUGAAAAGAUGCCAUGUCCCAAGGACAUAAAAGGUAUAAGAAGUUUCCUUGGUCAUGCCGGUUUUUAUAGGAGGUUCAUUAAGGACUUUUCUAAAAUCUCUAGGCCUCUGACUAAUUUAUUGCAAAAAGAUAUUCCUUUUGUCUUUGAUGAUGAUUGUGUAGAAGCAUUUGAAAUACUAAGAAAGUUUUGAUCACUGCACCUUGUUCAGCCACCUGAUUGGAAUUUACCCUUUGAAAUUAUGUGUGAUGCUACUGAUUAUGCUGUAGGUGUUGUUCUAGGGCAAAGAGUUGAUAAGAAAUUGAAUGUUAUCCAAUAUGCUAGUAAGACUCUUGAUACUGCCUAUAGAAAUUAUGCUACUACUGAAAAAGAAUUCUUAGCAGUUGUGUUUGCAUGUGAUAAGUUUAGACCUUAUAUUGUUGAUUUCAAAGUUACUAUUCACACUGAUCAUGUUGUUUUUAAUAUCUUACGGAAAAGAAAGAUGCUAAGCCUAGACUCAUUAGAUGGGUUCUCUUGCUCCAAGAAUUUGAUUUGCAUAUUAUUGAUAGGAAGGGAGCUGAGAACCCCGUUGCAGACAACUUGUUUAGGUUAGAGAAUGUUCUUUAUGACCCACUGCCUAUUGAUGAUAGCUUUCCUGAUUAACAAUUAGCAGUUAUUAAUGCUUCUCGUACUGCUCCUUGGUAUGCUGAUUAUGCUACUUACAUUGUUCCUAAAUUUAUACCACCUAGUUUCACAUACCAACAAAAGAAAAGGUUCUUUUAUGAUUUAAGACAUUACUUUUGGGAUGACCCACACCUUUAUAAACAAAGGAGUAGAUGGUGUUAUUAGACGUUGUGUACCUCAGCAUGAACAGGAACAGAUCCUACGCAAGUGUCACUCUGAAUCAUAUGGAGGACACCACGCUGGAGAUAGAACUGCACAUAAGGUAUUGCAAUCCGGUUUUCAUUGGCCUACUCUCUUCAAAGAUGCUCGUAAGUUUGUCUUAUCUUGUGAUGAAUGUCAAAGAAUUGGUAAUAUUAGUAGACGUCAAGAAAUGCCUAUGAAUUACUCUCUUGUUACUGAACCGUUUGAUGUUAGGGGCUUUGAUUAUAUGGGACAUUUUCCUGCCUCUAAUGGUUAUACACAUAUUUUAGUUGUUGUUGAUUAUGUUACUAAGUGGGUAGAAGCUAUUCCAACUAGUAGUGUUGAUCAUAACACUUCUAUUAAAAUGCUUAAAGAAGUUAUUUUUCCGAGGUUUGGAGUCCCUAGAUAUCUUAUGACUGAUGGUGGUUCACAUUUUAUUCAUGGUGCUUCCCGUAAGAUGCUUGCUAAGUAUGAUGUUAAUCACAGAAUCGCAUCUCCUUAUCACCCGCAAUCUAGUGGUCAAGUAGAGUUGAGCAAUAGAGAGCUCAAAUUAAUUUUGCAAAAGACUGUGAAUAGAUCUAGAAAGAACUGGUCCAAAAAACUUGAUGAUGCAUUAUGGGCCUAUAGAACUGCAUAUAAAAAUCCUAUGGGUAUGUCUCUGUAUAAGAUGGUUUAUGGAAGAGCAGGUCACUUACCUCUUGAACUUGAACAUAAAGCAUACUGGGCUAUUAAAGAGCUCAAUUAUGACUUCAAACUUGCCGGUGAGAAGAGGUUAUUUGAUAUUAGCUCACUUGAUGAAUGGAGAACCCAAGCCUAUGAGAAUGCUAAGCUAUUCAAAGGAAAAGUCAAACGCUGGCCUGACAAAAGGAUACAAAAGCGUGAGUUUAACGUAGGUGAUUAUGUGUUAUUAUUCAACUCUCGUUUAAGAUUUUUUGCAGGAAAACUUCUCUCUAAAUGGGAAGGUCCUUACUUUAUCGAGGAGGUCUAUCAUUCCGGUGCCAUAAAAAUCAACAACUUUGAAGGUACAAGUCCGAGGGUGGUGAACGGUCAAAAAAUUAAACAUUAUAUCUCAGGUAAUCCUAUCAAUGUUGAAACUAAUAUUGUUGAGACCGUAACCCCGGAGGAAUACAUAAGGGACACUUUCCAGAAUGUUUCAGACUCCGAAAAGGAAUAGGUAUGUGGUACGGUAAGUAAACCGACUCCAAAACAAUUCUAAUGACAAUUUCUAUCCGUUUUGGAAUAUUUAAGAAUUUUGGAAAGAAAGAAGUAGUCCGGGAAGAGGCCUCCACGAGGGUGGAGGGCACGCCCACCCUUCCUGGGCAUGCCCCCCCUAUCUCAUGGCCACCUCGUGUGUCUCCCGGACUCUGUUUUCUCGCACGUUAUGUAUUUUGGUCGGUAAAAAUUCAUUAUAUAAUCUCCCGAAGGCUUUGACCACCGUAUCACGCAAAUAUCCUCUGUUUUCGUUUUGAGCUAUUUCUAUUACAGAUUCAGAGCAAUAUGUCGUCUCAGGAUUCGGAAGGGAAAAGCUAUGUGGAUGAUUACCUUGCAGACUCUAAAGUCUACAGGGACCUGGGGCAUGAUGGCUGGACCACUAAAGAAGAGGAAGACUAUGAGCCUAAGGGAAUGAAGGAAAUAUGCCCUAGAGGCAAUAAUAAAGUUAUUAUUUAUUUCCUUAUAUCAUGAUAAAUGUUUAUUAUUCAUGCUAGAAUUGUAUUAACCGGGAACAUAAUACAUGUGUGAAUACAUAGACCAACAUAGUAUCACUAGUAUGCCUCUACUUGACUAGCUCGUUUAUCAAAGAUGGUUAUGUUUCCUAACCAUAGACAAAAGAGUUGUCAUUUGAUUAAUGGGAUCACAUCAUUAGGAGAAUGAUGUGAUUGACUUGACCCAUUCCGUUAGCUUAGCACUUGAUCCUUUAGUAUGUUGCUAUUGCUUUCUUCAUGACUUAUACAUGUUCCUGUAACUAUGAGAUUAUGCAACUCCCGUUUAUCGGAGGAACACUUUGGGUGCUACCAAACGUCACAACGUAACUGGGUGAUUAUAAAGGAGUACUACAGGUGUCUCCAAAGGUACAUGUUGGGUUGGCGUAUUUCGAGAUUAGGUUUUGUCACUCCGAUUGUCGGAGAGGUAUCUCUGGGCCCUCUCGGUAAUGCACAUCACUAUAAGCCUUGCAAGAAAUGUAGCUAAUGAGUUAGUUACGGAAUGAUGCAUUACGUAACGAGUAAAGAGACUUGCCAGUAACGAGAUUGAACUAGGUAUUGGAUACCGACGAUCGAAUCUCGGGCAAGUAACAUACCGAUGACAAAGGGAACAACGUAUGUUGUUAUGCGGUUUGACCGAUAAAGAUCUUCGUAGAAUAUGUAGGAACCAAUAUGGACAUCCAGGUUCCGCUAUUGGUUAUUGACCGAGAAUAGUUCAAGGUCAUGUCUACAUAGUUCUCAAACCCGUAGGGUCCGCAUGCUUAAGGUUUCGAUGACAGUUAUAUUAUGAGUUUAUGAGUUUUGAUGUACCGAAGGAGUUCGGAGUCCUGGAUGAGAUCGGGGACAUGACAAGGAGUCUCGAAAUGGUCGAGACGUAAAGAUCGAUAUAUUGGACGACUAUAUUCGGAGUUCGGAAAGGUUCCGAGUGAUUCGGGUAUUUUUCGGAGUACCGGAGAGUUACGGGAAUUCGCCGGGGAGUAUAUGGGCCUUAUUGGGCCAUACGGGAAUAGAGGAGAGAGGCCAAAAGGAAGGAGGCCUGCGCCCCCCCUCUGGUCCGAAUUGGACAAGGGGCGCAGCCCCCCUUUCCUUCUUCCUCUCCCCCUCUUUCCCCUUCUCCUACUCCAACAAGGGAGGUGGAAU
rnacentral:lncRNA from 1 species